GUAAGCUACUAAGAGCGAAUGGUGGAUGCCUUGACUGGUAAAGGCGAUGAAGGACGUACUAGACUGCGAUAAGCUACGGGGAGCUGUCAAGAAGCUUUGAUCCGUAGAUUUCCGAAUGGGGCAACCCAAUGUAUAGAGAUAUACAUUACCUAUAUAGGAGCGAACGAGGGGAAUUGAAACAUCUUAGUACCCUCAGGAAAAGAAAUCAAUAGAGAUUGCGUCAGUAGCGGCGAGCGAAAGCGUAAGAGGGCAAACCCAGUGCUUGCACUGGGGGUUGUAGGACUGCAAUGUGCAAGAGGUGAGUUUAGCAGAACAUUCUGGAAAGUAUAGCCAUAGAGGGUGAUAGUCCCGUAUGCGAAAAACAAACCUUAGCUAGCAGUAUCCUGAGUAGGGCGGGACACGAGAAAUCCUGUCUGAAGCUGGGUCGACCACGAUCCAACCCUAAAUACUAAUACCAGAUCGAUAGUGCACAAGUACCGUGAGGGAAAGGUGAAAAGAACUGAGGUGAUCAGAGUGAAAUAGAACCUGAAACCAUUUGCUUACAAUCAUUCAGAGCACUAUGUAGCAAUACAGUGUGAUGGACUGCCUUUUGCAUAAUGAGCCUGCGAGUUGUGGUGUCUGGCAAGGUUAAGCAAACGCGAAGCCGUAGCGAAAGCGAGUCUGAAUAGGGCGCUUAGUCAGAUGCUGCAGACCCGAAACGAAGUGAUCUAUCCAUGAGCAAGUUGAAGCUAGUGUAAGAACUAGUGGAGGACUGAACCCAUAGGCGUUGAAAAGCCCCGGGAUGACUUGUGGAUAGGGGUGAAAGGCCAAUCAAACUUCGUGAUAGCUGGUUCUCUCCGAAAUAUAUUUAGGUAUAGCGUUGUGUCGUAAUAUAAGGGGGUAGAGCACUGAAUGGGCUAGGGCAUACACCAAUGUACCAAACCCUAUCAAACUCCGAAUACCUUAUAUGUAAUCACAGCAGUCAGGCGGCGAGUGAUAAAAUCCGUCGUCAAGAGGGAAACAACCCAGACUACCAGCUAAGGUCCCUAAAUCUUACUUAAGUGGAAAACGAUGUGAAGUUACUUAAACAACCAGGAGGUUGGCUUAGAAGCAGCCAUCCUUUAAAGAAAGCGUAAUAGCUCACUGGUCUAGUGAUUUUGCGCGGAAAAUAUAACGGGGCUAAAGUAAGUACCGAAGCUGUAGACUUGAUUUUAUCAAGUGGUAGGAGAGCGUUCUAUUUGCGCCGAAGGUAUACCGGUAAGGAGUGCUGGAGCGAAUAGAAGUGAGCAUGCAGGCAUGAGUAGCGAUAAUUAAUGUGAGAAUCAUUAACGCCGUAAACCCAAGGUUUCCUACGCGAUGCUCGUCAUCGUAGGGUUAGUCGGGUCCUAAGUCGAGUCCGAAAGGGGUAGACGAUGGCAAAUUGGUUAAUAUUCCAAUACCAACAUUAGUGUGCGAUGGAAGGACGCUUAGGGCUAAGGGGGCUAGCGGAUGGAAGUGCUAGUCUAAGGUCGUAGGAGGUUAUACAGGCAAAUCCGUAUAACAUACUCCGAGAACUGAAAGGCUUUUUGAAGUCUUCGGAUGGAUAGAAGAACCCCUGAUGCCGUCGAGCCAAGAAAAGUUUCUAAGUUUAGCUAAUGUUGCCCGUACCGUAAACCGACACAGGUGGGUGGGAUGAGUAUUCUAAGGCGCGUGGAAGAACUCUCUUUAAGGAACUCUGCAAAAUAGCACCGUAUCUUCGGUAUAAGGUGUGGUUCGCUUCGUAUUAGGAUUUACUCCGAAAGCGAAGAAACUUACAACAAAGAGUCCCUCCCGACUGUUUACCAAAAACACAGCACUCUGCUAACUCGUAAGAGGAUGUAUAGGGUGUGACGCCUGCCCGGUGCUCGAAGGUUAAUUGAUGGGGUUAGCAUUAGCGAAGCUCUUGAUCGAAGCCCGAGUAAACGGCGGCCGUAACUAUAACGGUCCUAAGGUAGCGAAAUUCCUUGUCGGUUAAAUACCGACCUGCAUGAAUGGCGUAACGAGAUGGGAGCUGUCUCAAAGAGGGAUCCAGUGAAAUUGUAGUGGAGGUGAAAAUUCCUCCUACCCGCGGCAAGACGGAGAGACCCCGUGGACCUUUACUAUAGCUUGACACUGCUAUUUGGAUAAAGAUGUGCAGGAUAGGUGGGAGGCUUUGAAGCUAGGACGCCAGUUCUAGCAGAGCCAUUGUUGAGAUACCACUCUUCUUUAUUUGGGUAGCUAACUAGCCUAAGUUAUCCUUAGGUAGGACAAUGUCUGGUGGGUAGUUUGACUGGGGCGGUCGCCUCCCAAAUAAUAACGGAGGCUUACAAAGGUUGGCUCAGAACGGUUGGAAAUCGUUCGUAGAGUAUAAAGGUAUAAGCCAGCUUAACUGCAAGACAUACAAGUCAAGCAGAGACGAAAGUCGGUCUUAGUGAUCCGGUGGUUCUGUGUGGAAGGGCCAUCGCUCAAAGGAUAAAAGGUACCCCGGGGAUAACAGGCUGAUCUCCCCCAAGAGCUCACAUCGACGGGGAGGUUUGGCACCUCGAUGUCGGCUCAUCGCAUCCUGGGGCUGGAGCAGGUCCCAAGGGUAUGGCUGUUCGCCAUUUAAAGCGGUACGCGAGCUGGGUUCAGAACGUCGUGAGACAGUUCGGUCCCUAUCUGCCGUGGGCGUAAGAAGAUUGAAGAGAUUUGACCCUAGUACGAGAGGACCGGGUUGAACAAACCACUGGUGUAGCUGUUGUUCUGCCAAGAGCAUCGCAGCGUAGCUAAGUUUGGAAAGGAUAAACGCUGAAAGCAUCUAAGCGUGAAGCCAACUCUAAGAUGAAUCUUCUCUAAGCUCUCUAGAAGACUACUAGUUUGAUAGGCUGGGUGUGUAAUGGAUGAAAGUCCUUUAGCUGACCAGUACUAAUAGAGCGUUUGGCUUAUCUUUAAUAAAGCAU
rnacentral:rRNA from 1 species